GACGAACGCUGGCGGAGUGCUUAACACAUGCAAGUCGAACGAAGUGGCGAACGGGUGAGUAACGCGUAAUCAACCUGCCCUUCAGAGGGGGACAACAGUUGGAAACGACUGCUAAUACCGAAUACUGCAGGAGGGGAUUGCGUCUGAUUAGCUGGUUGGAGGGGUAAGGGCCCACCAAGGCGAUGAUCAGUAGCCGGUCUGAGAGGUGGAACGGCCACAUAUGGACUGAGACACGGCCCAGACUCCUACGGUAUGCAGCAGUGGGGAAUCUUCCGCAAUUGACGAAAGUCUGACGGAGCAACGCCGCGUGAGUGAUGACGGCCUUCGGGUUGUAAAGCUCUGUUAAUCAGGACGCGGUACCAGAAUAGAAAGCCACGGCUGACUACGUGCCAGCAGGCGCGGUAAUAC
rnacentral:rRNA from 1 species